rnacentral:rRNA from 1 species
UUUUAAGUCCAAUCUGCCCAAUGAAAAUUUUAAAUGGCUGCAGUAUAAAUAACUGUACUAAGGUAGCAUAAUAAUUUGUUUUUUAAUUAAAAACUAGAAUAAAAGAUUUAAUAAAAUAUAUACUAUAUAAAUUAAAUAAAUUUAAUUUAUUAUUUAAGUAAAAAAACUUAAAUAAAAAUAAAAGACGAUAAGACCCUAUAAAAUUUUAUUACUUAAUUUAUAAUAUUAAUUAAAUUUUAAAUUAUUAUUUAUUAAAUUAAUUUAAUUGGGGUAAUUUAAAAAUUAAACAAAUUUUUUUUCCAAAAAACAAAUAUUACUGAUUAUUUAAUCUUUUAAUUUAAAAAUAAAAAAUUAAUUACUUUAGGGAUAACAGCAUAA